UACGUAGGGGGCAAGCGUUGUCCGGAUUUAUUGGGCGUAAAGAGCGUGUAGGCGGCCAGGCAGGUCCGAUGUGAAAACUCGAGGCUCAACCUCGAGACGCCGAUGGAAACCGUCUGGCUAGAGUCCGGAAGAGGAGAGUGGAAUUCCUGGUGUAGCGGUGAAAUGCGCAGAUAUCAGGAAGAACACCCGUGGCGAAGGCGGCUCUCUAGUACGGUACUGACGCUGAGACGCGAAAGCGUGGGGAGCGAACAGG
rnacentral:rRNA from 1 species